GGAUCAAUUUAUUGGUCGUGCUAUUGUACGUACUGAUUUUAUUGGUUCCUACCUUCUGACGAACCAUAAUGUCAUUAAUUUGGUGUUAUGGGGAAUCAGGACUGUUACUUUGAAAAAAUUAGAGUGUUUAAAGCAGGCUCACGCUUGAAUACAUUAGCAUGGAAUAACGAAAUAGGACGUUUGAUUCUAUUUUGUUGGUUUCUAGGAUCGACGUA
rnacentral:rRNA from 1 species